rnacentral:lncRNA from 1 species
AUGAGCUCCUGAACAAAAUCAACUCAGCAGUUUGUUUCAGUAUCAGCUACUACCCCAGCCCUCGCCAGUGGCUGUCAACCAUGGCUGAACAUUAGAAUUGCCUGGUGAGUGACCGAUUCAUUCAGCUGGGACUGGGACUCAAGCAUUAUUUAGAAACUCACCAGGAGAUCCACCGGCAGCCAGAAUUGAGAACCACUGGUCCAAAACAAAUAGAUAAAAAUCUACCAUCUCGUUGAAAAGAAAAUGACCAAUAUUCACAGAUUCGAAAACUAACAGCCAAUAAUGGCAAUGAUGAGGAGAAACCUUCAUUCUCAUGCAUUGCUGAAGAGAGAAUAAAAUAAUUUCCAAACCUUUCUGAAGGGCCAUCUGGCAUCUCUCUGGAAAUAGUCCCUUCCAGGGACACACCUGCAAUCCGGAGCUAGCUGGAGGAGAACUGGGAGACUGCCCUCUCCAGCCUCCCCGCUCCGGGAAGGACCGCAGUCAGCCCCAGAGGGAAUUGCUCCAUGUGUAGCUGCGGAUUCAGUGUGUCCGUGGGAGGAGACUUGAUCAUUGUCCUUGUCUUCAUUUACGUCAGAUGGUGCUCCCUGUGGAGAGAGGCAGCUGGUUAUUCUGAGCUAACUCAGAUAAUCCUUAUUAAUAUAACCGCCUCCCUUGUGAAAAUCCAUCCAUCACCUUCACCUUGAUGGGCCACUGUCAGCAUGGUGCCUGGUGCCCCCGCCAGCACUUCACCCCCCGGAACACUGUGCCAUCAGCACUGGGACACUGUUUGCAAGGUGCAAACUGCAUGGGAAGCUUUUGAGCCAUUUACUUUACUUCUUCAAAAGUUUGAUUCAACUGAGGAAACGUUAACUCAAGAAAUAUAGGUUCUGGGGAAAUGAGCUUGGGAUCUUAGGAUGGCUCUUCCUAACAGGUUUCCUUGGAGACAACAGGCCAUGUUCUGGAGUAGUUUCUGGUCUCUAGGCCAAUACAAUGUCAGAUCAAUGUUUUUGUGAGGCAAUACCAUAGCAUGUGACCCGGGGGCAAUAGAGCUUUGCAAUUGGAUAAACUCCAGGUUCAGCAUGAACACCUAUGUAGGAAGGCAGCAGUUAACGCUUCCUAUUCAAUACAGAAAAUCCCCUGAAAUGAAAGAUGAGGAGCCAGUUGUGGGAGAAGGAGGCCACAGCAGCUGCAGAAACCUUCCCAGUCCCUCCCAUCACCCCCCUCCUUGUCAGGUUACUCUCUAAGCUCUUCCUGGCACGUGUAUGAGCCACUCUCUCUUGACUUUAGAGAUGACCUAUCUUGGCCUCUAAAUUUAAACUCACCGUGGGAUUGAAAAGUGAAUGGGGCCAAAGAGCCCUUUGGUGUGAUUUGUAUAAGGAUUAUUCCCCAGAACGAUACUGGAUUCUACUAAUGUGAGGCUUAAAGUAGAUGUGGCAGGAUGGUGGGCCUCUCAUGGGCAGCAAGGAGCUAGCAAACCAUGCA